rnacentral:rRNA from 1 species
CCUACGGGAGGCAGCAGUGAGGAAUAUUGGUCAAUGGGCGGGAGCCUGAACCAGCCAAGUCGCGUGAGGGAAGACGGUCCUAUGGAUUGUAAACCUCUUUAGGCGGGGAGCAAUGCCGGGCACGCGUGCCCGGAGGGAGAGUACCCGCAGAAUAAGCAUCGGCUAACUCCGUGCCAGCAGCCGCGGUAAUACGUGGGAUGCAAGCGUGAUCCGGAUUUAUUGGGGUUAAAGGGUGCGUAGGCUGUGAGGUAAGUCAGCGGUGAAAUUGAGAGGCUCAACCUCUUCGAGCCUUUGAAACUGGUUUUCUUGAGUGAGCGAGAAGUAUGCGGAAUGCGUGGUGUAGCGGUGAAAUGCAUAGAUAUCACGCAGAACUCCGAUUGCGAAGGCAGCAUACCGGCGCUCAACUGACGCUCAUGCACGAAAGUGUGGGUAUCGAACAGGAUUAGAUACCCCUGUAGUC